rnacentral:rRNA from 1 species
AGUGAACGCUGGCGGUAGGCCUAACACAUGCAAGUCGAACGGCAGCACAGUAAGAGCUUGCUCUUACGGGUGGCGAGUGGCGGACGGGUGAGGAAUACAUCGGAAUCUACUUUUUCGUGGGGGAUAACGUAGGGAAACUUACGCUAAUACUGCAUACGACCUACGGGUGAAAGCAGGGGAUCUUCGGACCUUGCGCGAUUGAAUGAGCCGAUGUCGGAUUAGCUAGUUGGCGUGGUAAAGGCCCACCAAGGCGACGAUCCGUAGCUGGUCUGAGAGGAUGAUCAGCCAAACUGGAACGGAGACACGGUCCAGAAGACUACGGGAGGCAGCAGUGGGGAAUAUUGGACAAUGGGCGAAAGCCUGAUCCAGCAAUACCGCGUGGGUGAAGAAGGCCUUCGGGUUGUAAAGCCCUUUUGUUGGGAAAGAAAAGCAGCAGGUUAAUACCCCGCUGUUCUGACGGUACCCAAAGAAUAAGCACCGGCUAACUUCGUG